CCGCGCGGACGGGCAGGGCGGGCGCGCGCGCCGGGAGGGGGCGGUGACAGCGGCGCUGAGGGGACGUGUCGUAGCGGGCCUCGGCGGCCCCUCCGCGGCGGCCGAGAGACCCGCCCCCUUUCUUCCCCUGUCCACAGGGGAACGGGCGCGGGCCCUGAGCGGGAGAAAGGGGAACGGAGGUGGGCAAGGCGGCGGCUGCCCGCGGGGGGUUGUGUGGCUCCGGGGUUCUUCCAGCUCGGUGAGGAAGAGGAGAGCGGGAAGCGGGGCAGGUGCUGGGGUGUCCGUGUGCCCAGGCCGGCUGGGCCACCGUCCCGUCCGCACCCCGUGACCUGGCAACGUCCGACUCGGCAGCCGCGGAGGAGCUGCCGGUGAUCUGGUGGGCGAGGCCGGGGCGCCCCGCGGGUCAGGGGUCUCCCUGCCGCCCUCACCGUGCUGGGGCGGAAAGCUCGGGAAAGGAACGCUGCCUGAGCCGGGCUUGGUUAUUUCCACGGAGACUCUGCCUAAAGCAUCCUGUCCUGUCGCUCAGGCCUUCCUCCACAGUGUCGAAACGUGAUCAUGUGCUUAAAAAUCUGAUCAUCAUAUGUUAUUUUGGACUCAUCCAAUUAAAUGCACAAAUUAUCAGAAAUAGCUCAUUUUGCCUUUCAGAGAACGCCUUCUCAAGCAACACGGUGAAAGAGUUUGAAGUAGAUUACAUGGACAGAUGAAUUCUCAAGUUUUGAGGCCUUAAGGAUACUUAAAAUAGCUUGUGAUGAAAUAAGCCUCUUUUUCACAGGAAUUCAGGAUGGUUCUUGUUGCUCAAUGAUGUGGAUUGAGACUUAAGUAGCUUUUUGGCAUAACGGUAAACCUCUGAAACGAAAAAGCAAAACCCAGCUUUGAGUUCUGACUAUAAAUACGAUGUUUCAGGUCAAAAUGAACGAUUUUGGAAAUUAGAGCCUUUACAAAUGGAUGUAUGGAGAGAGAAGGCUUUUCACCCAACAAAGGUUGGCACUGUGUUUUCAACCAAGUAAUACAAUGAAGCUAGCUGGAAAUAAUAAUUUACUGAAGAGCAUUAAUUACUGAUUAAGUGCUUAGUCAAGUAAUAGGAUGGCAGUGUGGGUACUUGAACUAGUAGCAAUAAAAGCAACCAGUUUUGUGAACAUCAAAACUAAUGAAGCCUAUUUCUUGGUGUCUCUCAUGUUAAGUAAUUGGUAUCUGAUACAGCUGAGUAUCUGAACUUUUCACUUGGUUAUGCCACUCUACCAAAGUAUUAUUUUCACACAAUGUAUAAGUACUUAAUAUUUUUGAGAUGUUCUCCCUUUUUCUAGUGAGGUUGAAACUGCCAAACAAGUUCAAAAGCUGCUAGGGAUGUGCAGACACGCUCAAGACCACAUGCAAUUUAUCACAGAAAAGCUUACUGGGUGAAUUAUUAACAUUUCAGCAAAUUUGAAUGUACCAUGUAAGGAACAAAUUGCCCUAAAGAAAGCAAGAAAAAGAGUAUAAUCUGUAAUGAGCAUUACUGCAAAUAUAAUAAUUAGAAGAAAAUAACUGCCUGCGUGACUAUAUUCUUGCAAGUAAUAAUUACUAUCAGGUAAGACAACAGCGUUUUGUGGAUAAUGUGUGAUACAGUUUCCUGAAGCUAUACUAUGGGAAGUGGCAGUUUGCUUAAGAAAAGAGGUAGUAAAAUUGAAGGAACUGGGUGAGCAGUGAUACUUAGAAGGAUAUUGAUAAUUAUUUACUGUGAACAAGAUUUUUUACUGUAAAUGUACUGUAAAAUUCCUUCUAUUUGCAUUGGCACACAGAUGCCAGCAUUUCAUGUUUGGUAUAUGUAGUACCUGCUUGUAUGCUCUUCCAUCCAAGAAGGCUCUCUUGCAAGAUUAAAAUAUACACACAGAGGUACAAAUGCUCACAGCAGUGUUGUAUCUUUGCACUGAUCACUAGCCUUCUGCAUGAUCUUGUUAUUCAGAGGUUUCUGUUGAUCUCCUGUAGCAUCAGAGACACCAUUUCCUCCCAGUCCACAGAUAAAUCCAAACUGAAGAAUAUUAGAUAAGAGGGGCCAUUGUCUUCUAGUGAUUAAUCUUUUUCUUAUGUUCCUGCCUGAUAUCUCUGAUCAUGUACUUACAAUCUGAUCAUCAUAUGUUAUUUUGGACUAAGCAGCUUUUCAGAUAAACUUAGCAUAAAGCAAUAGGCCUGGUUUUCCUACUGAGAUCACCUAAAGACAAUUCAGGUACAUGCUGUGUGAUCCAUGUUGUGCCAUAGAAGCUUGGGUCAGCUUGGUAUGACUUACUCUAGUGACAGUGAAUCUUAAUUUGAUUUAAGUUUGUCAGGGCGACUGUUGCAGCAAGUGAUAUGACGAUCCCUUCUGAUCUGAAAUGUGAUGAAAAUUGAAGGAAAUUUUUAAAAUGUCAUUUGGGCAAAAAUAACGGACAGAAAUGCAAACAAUGUGGGUAGGUGAAUGUACAUGGGAAUGGCUUACCAUUUUUUAAUCUACUCAGUUGUUUUAGAGCUAAAUGUUUGGUACAUUGCAAGGAUAUACAGUAAUCCACAAGAAGAUAAAUAUAAUAUUUUUUGUUUAUAGGAGGGAAAGAAACAGGGCAGAAAAAAUCCAACAAUGAGAAAGGAGCAAGUUUGUAAGGCCAAGGAAAAGAAGUAAAUCCAGAAAAAAACAAAGGGAAUAAUAACCAGAAAUUGCACAAUAGAAGCAAGAGGUAUGAGACAGAGCCCACAGCAGUCAGUCAGAGUCUUUCCACUUGGAUCAGGCUUAUUUAAAACAGAAAAUAAAAAUCCUCCUUCUUGGCAAGAGUCACGUUUGCCCCCACUCCAAACUAUUCUGUCUGCUUGUUUAGACUAUAGCUAAACGAAAUGUAAAUUAUGCUGCAUAUCAUAAAUCAUUGUAUUAAAAGAAUGCCACCGAUUAAUGAGCCCUGCUUGGAAAAUAAAUGCAUGUUUUUACUGUGCAUUUUGUUUCCAUAAAUACCUUUGCUUUAAUGCAGUCACAGCUAUUGCGCUGGCCUGAUUCAUUCAGUAGCACAGUGACUCAUUUGACAGCAAGAAACACGUCCAAGGUGAUAAGCAAAACCAGCAGUGAAACAAUUACAGAAGAAGAGGAUACAGUCUCUAGACUCCUAAUUUCUAAAAUAACUGUAAACGUAUGACCUAUCUGUAGCAGGGAGAAGAGAUGCUGAGUAAAAGAGGCAUUAUUAAUAUGAAAGAAUGAGUGACACCUACUUAAAGCAACCAUUAAUAUAGACCUAUAUUUUUCACUUCCUAUAUCAUAGCUGAAUAAACCAUUUUAAAUCCCCUCUCACCUGUGCCAAAUUCAGUGCUAUAGUUUUCUGAGUUUAAGCUGUGUGUUCUAUUGACAAAUUUAUUUCCAUGCACAGUUUUUUUAAUCUGAAUUUGUCAUAAAGUCGUCUUCCCUGCUGCUAAUAGGCCCUGAUAUUGCUCGUAUGAAAAAAGUAUGAAGAAUAACUGAAGGCUUAAUGGGCUCAACUUUAUUCUGUUGGUGUUUCUGAGCUUUGUUAUUCAUAUGUUCAUUGUUCUAACUGAAUUACAGCUGUCCAUUAGAUUAUGUACAUUUCUCAUAAAUAAGUGAGUUUUAGUUCAUUAUUAAGGGAAAGUUCUUUUCUCCUCCAGUUGGAGAAUGUAUUUUUGUUACUUAAUAUAUUGCAAUGAGAAGAGGUAGGGAAUUAUCAGGAUAUGUUAGAAAAUAAUAUCUUAAAAUCUCUCUGAGAUAAUCUGAAGAUUUUCAAUAGAAAACAUUUGCAUUAGGAAUUUUAAGGUUUUUGAUUGUCCAGAUUAUAUUUCAGGCAUGGUGAGUGAAUUAAGCACCUUGCUAGCCAGUCGGAAAAGAUGUUUCCACCAGCAGACUUUGUGUUCAAAAAUGUGCCGGGGUGAAUUUAGGGCAAAGAGGGUGAUGAGAAGGUUUUGCUGUUUGUUUUCUGGAUUGUCAAGUUGACACUUGAACUGCUGAUCAGCUUUCUGCUUUCUAAGGGGGUUACGGGCAGCACAGAGAAUCAACAUCCAGCUAUUUGCUUUUGUCACACAAAAUUCACUAACCACUUAAGGAAAAACAAAUUGGAUGUUUUGGGGAAAGAGGGAGAAAAGAGAAGGUAAAGAGUGUCUCAGUUAUCCAAACCUAAACAACCACAUCGACUGUGGUGGUGUUCCACUUACAGCUAGUUGAAUCUGCAGCAAAGUAUAUUUGAGUUGGUUACUCUUAAAGAGGAAUUCUUUCUCUCUAUUUAUUUAUUUUAACAAUACUUUUAUGGCAGUAGACACCUGUUGCUAGAUUUGUGCAUUCUUGUGUGAACUUAGAACAUUUUCUAAACACUAGGUGAUAGUGACAAAUGGAAAGCAGCUGUUUGUUGGAGAGGCAUUCAGAAGGAUGUGAUUAUCUGGAAUAUAAGGGACAAAAAGAACUUGAGCCAGGUGACUCAUGUCUAGUUCAGGUAAAGCUAACAUUGAAGUUUGGUUUAGAAUUGCAGAGGUAAAAUGUAGGCUAUCUGUUAUAAAGUCCAGGUCAGAAGCUUGUUCUUGCUCUCAGUUGAUUUGUAUCGACCUCCCCAAUGAGUAACUCAAAUAGCAUUUGGCCUUUGGAUCUGUAGUAUGGCCCAGUAGUCUGGAAUUUGUUACAGCAUUGCUUGGAUGCUGCAGGUCUUACUGCAGAUUUUGCCAGGUCUGAUUUGGCUAAAUUGAUCCCUAUGAGUGUAAUUACAGCUGAGAAUGUAGCAAACGUUUCAGAGCAAGAUUUUGCAUCUGGUGAUUAGAUUUUGCAUAAACUGUGAAGAUUAUCUGGAAUUUAAGUGAGGCCUUUCGUCAUGUCACUAUGCACCAGCACAGGAAUAUGUAGAUUAGUCUCCUGCAGCAAGAGAGGCACAGAAGUAAAAAGCAAACAUUUCUCUGUGCACCUGUAACAGUUACUUGUAAUGUGCAUUCUUGGAAGAACAAUGAGAAACUAGCCUUGAAAGAUCUUAAAACUGGAAGUCAUACUCUCCAGAUGUAUUGAGAGCAACUGAUGAAGCUCAAAUAGUGCAAAACACAAGUGGGCUACAGAUAAAGACUAAAACAAACCAAGGUCAGUAUUAUUUCAGUUUUCUUGGAUAAAAAUAAAAUCUUCAUUAGAGUGGCAGCAAGAGCAUAAGGCUUAGCCAUACCCAGCAUGUGCCAUCAUACCUGCUCCUGAAGUUAGUAAGAAAAAUAAGAAGGAGAAAGUACUUUUCUGCCAUUGUGCUGCGUGCUCUUUUCCAAAGAUUAAAAUUUUUUAGCAAAAGGAGGAAAAGCAUCAAAAUGGUCUCUAGCCUACAAUUGUAUUUGGUAAAGCUGAUGUACAGGCUGCAGAAAAAGUAGUGAUAUUAAAUGAGCUAUCUGAAUUGCAAAAAAUGUUGAUCAGAAGUUCUAGAGUUUUGUUUGUUUGAAAAAGAAAAACCUGUGUUGAUCAUGAAUUGGGAUAUUCUUAACUUUGCAGAUAUGUACAGAAAUAGCAAUUUACUUAAUAGGUUGUCCUUUACUGUGAGUGACUUAGCAGCUUUCCAGAAUCAGCCUGGAAUAUUCUUAUCAAUUCAGCCACCACUCGUAGCUGCUUACUGUGAAUGCCAUAUGUAAGCAAGCCUUAUUUAACCUUCACGCUUUCUAAUAUAAUAUUUUUGUGAAUUUUCCACAUUAGAAAAGUUGUCCAAGGAGUAGCAGAAUACAUGAUGCCUGAAUUCCUGGAGAUUUAUUUCCUUUGUCUCCCAAAAGUCUCUCUCACGUCUGCUUCAACACUCUCCCAUUUUCCACUGAGUAUUGUGAUCAACCCCAUGGGAUGUUCAGAUCACGUGUACUGUCUGGUUAAUGCAGAGUGGUGAGGCUGGUGUGUUCUGGCAUGGCUGGCCAGCACAUGCUUGCUGAUUAGUCAUCCUGUUGGCAAAUUAGACUAAGUCCUCUCUAAUGAACUUUGUAUCUUCAGUUAUAAAUAAAUACCUCUCACGUUUGUUUAACAUAUGAAAUGUACUGCAGCCUUCAGAGGCUUUUACAUAUUCAGUCAUUCUAGAAAUAAAAUAGAGAAGCUUCAUCUAGCUGUAUGCAAAAUAAUUGAAAAACUGAAAGCACCUGCAGGAAACUGGUAAACAAUAGCUUGUAUUGUUAAAAAAAAAAAAAGAACAUCAACACCCCAGCAACUGUAAUUGCUAGAGCUUUCCUUGUACAUGGUGUUUGCAGUACAGAGCACUUGCUCAGGGAUCCCUUGCAGCCAGUUUCAGUUCGACUGUAGUAUAGGGGCAAGGCAGCAAAUAAGAUGAGUAGUAUUCUCUUCAAAAUUAGAAAUUUUGGUAAAUCAGAACUGAUCAGAUAGCCAGAACUUACUUAUACCCGUGAGUUUGCAAGUUGUUCUGGGGGCAUAUCCUGCAACAUGAGCUUGCACACCUCCUGAGACUUUUUCCCCAACUUUUUCUGGAGGCCACUUCUGCCAAGGAUGAACACACAGACACACACACAAAGAGAGAUGUGACUUCUUACUAUAGAGACCAAUUUUUGCGUGUAUCAGCCAGUGCUAGCAUUUCCAGGACCCUCACCAGCCCCUUCAUUUUACAAGGUGAAAUAGUAUAACUUAAGGUUGCUGUUUUCAUGAAGCAAACUUUAGUUCCAUUUCUCUCUAAGUCUAUUUCACUUUCUGUGAUACAUUUAGCAGUUGGAGAAAUGUAACUUAAUCAUAGGAUCUUGGCAUGUUCACUACCCUUUAUUCAUUUGCAAGUGAAUUUCAGAGUUGAAAUGUGCUGUGUUUUUUUCAUUGAUCCUUGGAGCCUGAUGAUGUGAGUAGGACAUGGACAGGCCUGAGUGGAGUUCCUAGAAUCAUAGAAUGGGUUAGAUCGGAAAGGACAUUAUUGAUCAUCUAGUUCCAGCUCCCCCUGCCAUGCUUAGGAGUGCUCCAACCCACGUGCAGGACCUUGCACUUGGCCUUGCUGAACUCCAUGAGUUUCAUAUGGGGCCACCUCUCAAGCCUGUCAAGGUCCCUUUGCAUGGCAUCCCUUCCCUUCAGCUUGUCGACUGCACCGCACAGCUUGGUGUCAUCAGCAAAUUUGCUGAGGGCUUGUGUAAUCAAUCCCAUUGUCCAUGUUGUCGGCAAAGAUGUUAAACAGCACGGGUCUCAAUACUGAUCCCUGAGGAAUGCCUCUUGUCGCUGGUCUCCACUUGGACAUGGAGCUGUUGACCACAACUCUGAGUGUGAUUGUCCAGUGAGUUCCUUAUCCAAUGACUGGUCCAUCUGUCAAAUCAAUGUCUCUCCAAUUUAGGACAAGGAUGUCAUGUGGGGCAGUAUCAAAUGCUUUGCACAAGUCCAGGUAGAUGACAUCAGUUGCUCUUCCCCUAUCCACCCAUGCUGUGAUGUCAUCAUAGAAGGCAACCAAGUUUUUCAAGUAUGAUUUGCCUUUGGCAAAGCAAGGUUGGCUGUCACCAUUCACUUCCUUAUUUUCUGUAUGCCCUAGCAUAGUUUCCAGGAGGAUCUGCUCCGUGGUCUUGCUGGGCACAGAGAUGAGACUGACUGGCUUGUAGUUCUCCAAGUCUUCCCUUUUCCGCUUUUAAAAAUCAGCCUAAAACUCACUGUAUUUCAUGACUCCUUUGAGGUAGAUAAUGAACUGCAUGUUUUCCAUCUGGUUAGCUCUUAGUGCAUGGCUGUAAAUAGUGUAUUUGAAUACUUCUUUUUUUUCAGUUGUGGAUUUUUUAAAGUGUUCUGCAAUAAGCACUUUCUGACAGCUGUGUGCUUCCAUUACCUCUGCUCAGAUUUCCCACAGUAGGCUGCUAUUCCCACUUGGAUUACUGAAGAACAGAAGAGGAUAGAGCAGCAUGACUGUAACGCAGUGACAGAAGUAGGCUGAACCAUCCCAUCUGGGAAGGUGUAGGGUCUCAGUCUCUCUGAAAGCAGAUAAACACAUAUCCCAAGGUGUGCCUGGGAAUGUUUCUCAUCCCAUGCUGGCACAUACUGCCAAAGGAGGAACUUGACUUAAGGCAUCAUGGGGUAAGAAGAGAAAGUGGAUCUGUAAAAUAUCUGAGCAUCCUGGACUGAUUGCAAAGCUGGGUUGCUGCUCAGCCUCAUGACUGGUUAGAGUGUCAUCCUGACUUAACAGGCCGUGAGCAGUGAACUGAGAUUGGUAUUUGACAGUGCGACCUCCAAAGUUCCCUUCUAGCCAAAAUUUUUCUGUAAUUUUUGAGGGAAGGAUACAGAUUUUUGUUCAAGAAACCAUGAAAAUCUCUCUGAAUAAACAAGAAUAACCCAAUGGUAGGAGUCUAGUCUAUCAUUCUUGUUCUGAAUCCUUCAUCUGGGGGUGAGAAGUUGUGUUCUGUGUGUCUGGAGGAUCUAUUUUGCUCAGUGGGAUCCUAUGGGCUUGGACAGGCAUGGGGGCAGGGUGAACUAGUGGUGGUUAUGGCAGCACAAAAGGGACUUUUACUGUCAGGGUCAAGAAGAUUCAUUGUCCUGCAGUGCGGAGAGUUAGUGCUUCCUCUUACCCAAAGAGGCUGUACAAACCUGAACACCACAGAUGAGGCAGCAAAGGCAGAGUUAAUGUCACAGAAAUUAAUCAUGUCAGAGCACACUGGAGCAGAACUAUGUCAUACACGUGUUGCUGGGCUGAAACAGAUGUGGAAAGAAAGCCAACUUGAGAUAAUGGCUCAGUAGACCUGUGGGUGCAAUUCUUUUGUGGCUAAAUUGUGCCUCAGUGAACCAGAUAGCAUUAAGAAUGGUGUUAUGACCAUACUUCCGUUACAUAGUAUAUUUUGCUCCUUUUAUUGAGUGUAUGCCUCAUAAAUGUGCACAUUUAAAAGUAAUAUUAUUGUGUGCCUUCUUUCCUCACUCCUUUUUUCCUUAACUACUACCAGCUCUCCAUUUUCCAGGGCUGGGUAAGGCAGACACGUGAUAAAUGUGUUUAAGCUAACAUAACAAACUGUCAUGAAAAAUACGAUUGGGAAAAGGAGAAACCUCAUUGGCUCUAGAAUACAGAGAUCCUCUAGCUGACCCAAACAGGUAGGUGUGGAUAGCGAAGGUGUGGCUGUGCUGCUUUUACACCAAAGCUGGCCUGCUCAAGACACUUCAGAUGACUGUGCCUCCAACAAUGUGAUUGACCCACAACCUAAAGUCACCAGAGAGAUUCUGAACAGCUGACUGUCCAGCAAAUGUGUGGGUCCAUGCUCACAAAGAUUCUCAGGGUAUGUGAGUAAAGAAAAGGUGAACAGGGAGAUGGUUUAGCUUCUCAAAUCCAGAAGCACAAUUCUGAGCAGGGACUCCAGACUUUUUUCUUUCAGAAGAGAACCUCUAGCAGAUUGCACCUCAUCUUUAUUGUUCUAGCACUUACAUGAGCAUUAUUUAUGUGCUGUAUCUUUUGUUCAGCCAAGUAUCUUGUUUGUAUUUUUAAUUAGUGUUGUGUGACUGGGAUGAAGGAAUUUCUGGGAAAAAGUUCUAUAAUCUGUCCUAAUAAUGAUGGGCACAGACUUUCACUGAACUUCUGGUAUGUCUUGUGUUUCUUCCCCUUGAAGGUACAAGGCAGAUCAUUGUGUAAGAUCUGCCACGGUAUUGUAAUAGAGAAGAUGCAAUCUCGACAGGAUUGGGAUAGGAGAGACUUUCUUAAGUCUCGUGUGACCGUAGCACUUGUGUAAACAAAGAGUAGUUCCAGGGAGACAGCUAUUGCAGCAACAUGGAGAUUUGGGGCUGCUCAGACUUGUAAAAGCAGCCUGUAGGCAAUAUACUCAGAAGGCUGUAUACAUGAGAACAGUUCCUAGCUGACUGUGUAACUAAGCGCCAAAGAGUGAUCUCUCUCUUUGUGCCAGAAUAAAGCAGGUACGGAUUCAGAUCACACAGGGGAAUUAGAAAAAUCUAUAAGACACCCAUCACAGAAGAUCUGUACAGUAAUACCUGCACAUACCCCUGCACACAGCCAUUAAAUUUAGAAUGUCCUGUCUUUUUUGAGAGACUAUGCUUCAGUCUGGCAGUCUUUUUUGAGAGACUAUUUUGAGUACCUAUACUACCCCCCCAAAAAGACUACUGUUGUGGUCACAUGCUUUGUAUUAGUAGAAAAGUUUUAAAUGGGGCUGUUGCAGGCAUGGGGAUAAAAGGUCAGGUUCUUUUCUGAGGUAUAACUAUGUGAUGCUUGGAUUGGAGAGUCAUUUUGUGCUUCCUCAGACCUUGCCUGAGAUCGGGGCGGGGGGGCAUCUACUUACUGAGAAGCAGCAUAAAGUGCAGAGAUGCAGUCUGACCUACUACAUUCGCAAAUACAGUUCAGCAUUUCACAGACUUAGCAGCUCAGUUUUGAAGACAGUGGGUGUAUAAACGAGCUUAGCACAGUUCCUGAGCUAAUGAGCUCUGACCCUUGCUACUGCACAAUAACCGGGGCACAGGGCUGCGCUAAUGCGGCUUUGUUGCUCCGUGGCCUGGAGCUGCCUCAUCGCUCUUGGAUUUCUGGGCAGUGGGCUGGCCCCAGGCCGUGGUCAGCACAGCCAGAGCCCAUGGAGGCCUCUCUGCACCCAUCAGGGCACAGUGACUUGGGAGGCUGUUUUCAGUGUCCUUUGAAAGAGUCCCAGAUGUGUCUCGUUCUGCUCUUCAGAGCUCCUCUGGAAUUUAACAUCUUAUCUACUCUGAAGCAUCACACUGAGACCUGAGACAGUACCCAGUGAAUUACUCUGUCUUUUGACUAUUUGGCAACAAAGUAGAGGUUAGAAAACUUCCUGAAGUUUCUCUGAAGCAAACACCAAGUGACGUGCUGGUGAAGCCCAAAGACUGUAGCACCGUGACCAUAACAGCACUGUACUGCCGCAGUCGUGUAGUACAACACUGCAGCAUAAAUUGGAAAGCAGUAAUUUCAGUGAUAAUUCUGUCAAAAAUCUCUGUCCAUGUCUUUCUGCCUCUCCUAAACAGGCAGUGCUAAGGGAAAAGAGUGUUCCCAGCCCCUGCUUUUUUCAGUGUCUGUCUUCAGUGCUGUGUAGACAGAGACCUCAUUUUUGUAGUGUUGUUUGUCCUUUUCCCAGUGGUGUAAGUAGUGUGCUGUUGCUUCCAUGACUUUUACCAAUCCUCAAUCUGUGCCUAAGUCUAAAACUACCUACAGCCUUCUCAAUAGGGGGAAAUUAUUAUGCAGUGACACAGUGAAAUUAAAACUCAGCGGCACUUCUGGAAUAAUACCCUGUUAGGACUGCUUACUCCAGAAUACAAAUACAUUCUCCAGUUCAGUGUUUGGUUACUUCAGAAAAGGGCACAUAGAGCUGUUCCAUGCAAGCUUUUGCGAAAGGGCUUUGAAUGCAGCAUCUGGUUUUGGUCAAACUUGCUGUGUGUUGCUGGUCCAAAGGGACUGUGGCCGCAGCGCUCUGGGAGGGAGUGCAGCUUUACCCUUGUUUCACAAUAUUUUCCUUGGAAAUUCGUAGCACCCAACUGACUCUGUCAUCCACUUGUGCUGGUAUUCCCCUACCCCUUCUGAAAAAGAGCUUCUUGUUCUCCUAAUUAUUACUGGUCUGUUUUGGGAAAUAUUAUGUCCUCCUUUGAUUUUUUGAUGGCGGCUGAAACUGUUAAAAUGUUCUUUUUUUUUUUUUUUUUUUCUUUUUUUAUCUUGUAAAUGUCAUUAUUGUCAAAGAUGAAGACAGCAAUCUAGAAAAUACGUUGUAGUGUUUUUCGGGUAUACAGUAUUCUUCCUGGAGAUUGAAUCAUUCAGUCACUAGCAAUAGAAAUUUGGUAUUAGACUGACAAAGGACUAGAGGUAGUGAAAUUCUCCUGGCUCUUGGCACCCUAGGUGAAAAGCAUUUGAGAGUCCUGGAGAAAUGCCCACAAUUAGACAACUUUGUUGGUCAUUGGAUAUUUGAAGUUGUUUGGGGCAUGGAAACAUUUCUGCUUUAUUCUUACCCUUGAAUGGAUGUUCUUUCAAUAUCAUGUAAAGAUAGUUGCACAGUGCAAAAAUAUGAUAAUCUUAAUAGACUGUUUGAAGAUGGAAGGACUGUAAUUGUAAGGACUGUUACCCUUGACAUUUUUAUAAGACUGCCAAAUUAUACAAUAACAAGUAUUUUAUGAACUAGGAUAAGUAAACAGCUAAAACAUUAAGGCACUUGACAUGCAUUUAAAAUAAAUAGUAAAACUGAAAAUAUGUUAACCAUCUGAAGUCUGUGUAAUACUUUGAAAAUGUAAUAUGGCUUUCAAUGUCAUGUGCUUGACACAGUAUACAGUAUUCUUCAGGAGCAAAAUUCCUGACCAGUCACGUACAUACCAAGGGAAAGAUGUGUGAGACUAUUUCGAUGGUGUGCUAUUUUUGCAAUAUACUACAAAGCUGCUUCUCACAGACACCUAGGUUUCACUGUAUUCCCAUGAGUUUUGCAAACCUUCUUCUAGGAGCACUCUGGACUUUUGAGUGUCAUGUCCUAUGUUUGCACAUUUGGUUUUAAUCUGCAAGUUAUCUUUGAAAUUGUACUAGUUCAUGGUGGUUAAAAAAUACCAUCUCCUAGUUGUAUUAUAUGUUCCUCUGGAAAGCAGCCUCUUAAUAAGAAUAAAACAUGAAUCUAAUCCAGCAACUCUAGCAAGCGUUCCUACUUACUCUGAAAGAAUAAGCCCAUAUGAGGAAGAACUUGUGUUAAUGUCACAUUUCUUCUCUGUAAAGGGGUAACAAAGUCAGGCAAUAUGCUUAUUGCUCAUUAGAGGUCAGCAGUGAAGCACAACAGAAAGGAAGAGCUCAGCAGUUAUUUAAAGAACUCAGUUCUCUUCUGUUCAAACGUUAUUUUACAGUUUUUGGGACAGGGAAAAAAAAAUCUGGUUUCCAGAUGUGAAAUUUAAAUAUAUAC